ACAGUGAUGGAAAGAUGAAAAGAACUUUGAAAAGAGAGUGAAAAAGUACGUGAAAUUGUUGAAAGGGAAGGGCAUUUGAUCAGACAUGGCGUUUGCUUCGGCUUUCGCUGGGCCAGCAUCAGUUUUAGCGGUUGGAUAAAUCCUCGGGAAUGUGGCUCUGCUUCGGUAGAGUGUUAUAGCCCGUGGGAAUACAGCCAGCUGGGACUGAGGAUUGCGACUUUUGUCAAGGAUGCUGGCGUAAUGGUUAAAUGCCG
rnacentral:rRNA from 1 species